rnacentral:rRNA from 1 species
UACGUAGGGUGCAAGCGUUGCCCGGAUUUAUUGGGCGUAAAGGGCGCGUAGGCGGCUCUGCACGUCCGUUGUGAAAUCGCCCGGCUCAACUGGGCGGGGUCAGCGGAUACGGCAGAGCUUGAGCAAGCUAGGGGGCAAUGGAAUUCCCGGUGUAGUGGUGGAAUGCGUAGAUAUCGGGAGGAACACCCGUGGCGAAGGCGGUUCUCUGGGACGGUACUGACGCUGAGACGCGAAAGCGUGGGGAGCGAACAGG